rnacentral:rRNA from 1 species
GUAGGGAAUAUUGGGCAAUGGAGGCAACUCUGACCCAGCCAUGCCGCGUGCAGGAAGACGGCCCUCUGGGUUGUAAACUGCUUUUAUCUGGGAAGAAAAAGGCCAUGCGUGGCAAAUUGCCGGUACCAGAUGAAUAAGCACCGGCUAACUCCGUGCCAGCAGCCGCGGUACUACGGAGGGUGCGAGCGUUGUCCGGAUUUAUUGGGUUUAAAGGGUGCGUAGGCGGCUGAUUAAGUCAGCGGUGAAAGACUUAGGCUUAACCGGGGCAGUGCCGUUGAUACUGGUUGGCUUGAGUGUCGGAGGGGUACAUGGAAUUGAUGGUGUAGCGGUGAAAUGCAUAGAUACCAUCAGGAACACCGAUAGCGAAGGCAUUGUACUGGCCGACAACUGACGCUGAUGCACGAAAGUGUGGGGAUCGAACAGGAUUAGAUACCCUUGUAGUCC